rnacentral:rRNA from 1 species
UAUAGAUGGAUCCGCGCUGCAUUAGCUAGUUGGUAAGGUAACGGCUUACCAAGGCAACGAUGCAUAGCCGACCUGAGAGGGUGAUCGGCCACACUGGAACUGAGACACGGUCCAGACUCCUACGGGAGGCAGCAGUAGGGAAUCUUCCGCAAUGGGCGAAAGCCUGACGGAGCAACGCCGCGUGAGUGAUGAAGGUCUUCGGAUCGUAAAACUCUGUUAUUAGGGAAGAACAUAUGUGUAAGUAACUGUGCACAUCUUGACGGUACCUAAUCAGAAAGCCACGGCUAACUACGUGCCAGCAGCCGCGGUAAUACGUAGGUGGCAAGCGUUAUCCGGAAUUAUUGGGCGUAAAGCGCGCGUAGGCGGUUUUUU